rfam:Chryseobacterium arachidis strain DSM 27619 genome assembly, contig: Ga0131169_103
GCUUCCAUAGCUCAGUUGGCCAGAGCACGUGAUUUGUAAUCUCGGGGUCGUGGGUUCGAAUCCCUCUGGAAGCU